UCGCGUGCGCUGAGGCCAUGAACGGUUGUGGGUUUUCGGAGGUGAUGAACUCAGGAAAAUCAUGGGCAUCGGUUGUAGGUUCAAGGGGAUCAGAUCUAAAGUUCGUUGAAGUUCCAGAUUUUGCUUUAGUGGAUGGCGCCCUCAUGUUUCCGAAAGAAAUCAUUGAGAAAGGGGUGAAGCGCUUGCACUAAGCGGUGGUGGCGCAAUUUAUGGGAUCGCCUCCGCCCGUAAGAGUUAUUUCAUCGAUAAUAAACAGAGUAUGGGCAUAUGAAAUGGUGUUGUCUGUGGUCUUUCCUGGUUUUUUUCUAUUUGAGUUAUGAUUCUGCGUAAGUGGCAAAAAGGUAUUGCGCCUUGGAUUUGAAAGUUAAUGAGAUUCCAACUUAGAUAUCGCUUCGAAAUGUUCCUCCGCAGCUGCAUACGAAUGAUGCAAUUGAAUGGAUGGUGAGUAGGAUUGGUACCUCGCAAUAAUUUUCUUAUGACAGGGCUUACUGUGAAGGUAUAUAUUCUAAUGAAUUAGGGAAAUGAUUGUCC
rnacentral:lncRNA from 1 species